GAAGCUGAGAGCUGAAAUUUUUCAUCCAUUUGCUCUACAUUGAAUAGAGGGGCAAAUCAAUGGCACCUACCAGCCCAAGACAUUGACUCCAUACUCUUCCAGGUGGCUAGACUGCACUGGACCCAUCAGAGCUCCAAGUCUGGCAAGACAGAAGCCAGUCCUCUGGGAAGCCUCCUUGGAAAAGUUGGGGCACAAGACCCAUGAGCCAACACCUUCCCCCCCCCGGAUGAAGCUGGGGAUUACAUGGCACUAUGUGAGGGACAAAGUCUCCGGUAACAGAAUGUCCUGAAUUUCCCUACUGGCUUUGUACGCGGGCCUCUCACUGCUGUGGCCUUUCCCAUUGCGGAGCACAAGCUCCAGACACGCAGGCUCAGUGGCCAUGGCUCACGGGCCCAACCGCUCCGCGGCACGUGGGAUCUUCGCGGACCGGGGCACGAACCCGUGUCCCCUGCAUCUCCCCUGCAUCGGCAGGCGGACUCUCAACCACUGCGCCACCAGGGAAGCCCCCUCAUAGCAUUUUAAAGGAGAAGAUGGCAGAAGAGUAGGACGCGGAGAUCACCUUCCUCCCGACAGAUACAUCAGAAAUACAUCUACACAUGGAACAACUCCUACAGAACACCUACUGAAUGCUGGCAGAAGACCUCAGACCUCC